UAAAGGGCUGCAGUAUAUUGACUGUACAAAGGUAGCAUAAUCAUUAGUCUUUUAAUUGAAGACUUGUAUGAAAGAUUUGAUGAAAUAUAAACUGUCUCUAAUUUAUAAAUAGAAAUUAAUUUUUUAAUUAGAAAGUUAAAAUAUUAUUAAAAGACGAGAAGACCCUAUAGAGUUUUAUAAUUUAUUUAUUUAAUUAAUAUAUAUAUAUAUAUAUAUAUAUAUAUAUAUAUAUAUAUAAUAUUUAAAUUUAAUAAAUAAUUAAAUUAUUAUAUUGGGGUGAUAAGAAAAUUUAAUAAACUUUUUUAUUUUUAAACAUAAAUAAAUGAAAAAAUGAUCCAUUAUUAAUGAUUAAAAGAAAAAAUUACCUUAGGGAUAACAGCGUAAUAUUUUUUUUUAGUACAAAUAAAAAAAAAAGUUUGCGACCUCGAUGUUGGAUUAAGAUAAAAUUUAAAUGCAAAAGUUUAAAAGUGUUGAU
rnacentral:rRNA from 1 species